UUGUUCUUCGGAGCAGAGAGAGCGGCGCACGGGUGCGGAACACGUGUGCAACCUGCCUUUAUCGUGGGGGAUAGCCUUUCGAAAGGAAGAUUAAUACCCCAUAAUAUGUUGAAUGGCAUCAUUCGAUAUUGAAAACUCCGGUGGAUGAGAGAUGGGCGACGCGCAGAGAUUAGAUAGUUGGUGAGGUAACGGCUCACCAAGUCUGCGAUCUUUAGGGGGCCUGAGAGGGUGAUCCCCCACACUGGUACUGAGACACGGACCAGACUCCUACGGGAGGCAGCAGUGAGGAAUAUUGGACAAUGGGUGAGAGCCUGAUCCAGCCAUCCCGCGUGAAGGACGACGGCCCUAUGGGUUGUAAACUUCUUUUGUAUAGGGAUAAACCUACUCUCGUGAGAUUAUCUGAAGGUACUAUACGAAUAAGCACCGGCUAA
rnacentral:rRNA from 1 species